rnacentral:lncRNA from 1 species
GUAUGUGUGGCUGAGGUUAGACUCCUUCCAGUUUGGAAGCUCGGUGCUGAUCUGAAGAUCGAAGCACUCAAAGAAACCUGUAAGAAAAGUCCACUCUCAUCGAAGGUUCUCUGAUGGAGGACUCUCUGAUGUUUAAGUCAGUCAGAGCUUGAGAAUAGUAGAAGAAAAAGAUAAAAAAAGAAUAAGAGAAUAGGUUAUAUUCUAGAGUCAAACUUACUCAAAGAGUCCUC